rnacentral:sRNA from 1 species
UCAGGACAGGGUCUUGCUCUGUCGCUUAGGAGUGCAAUGGUGUAAUCUUGGCUCACUGCAACUUCCACCUCCUGGGCUUAAGCAAUUCUCCUGCCUCAGCCUCCCAAGUAGCUGGGACCAGAGAGACAGGGUCUCUCUUUGUUGUCCAGGUUCAGCUUCAAGUAAUCUUACAGCCUCAGCAUCCCAAAGUGCUAGGAUAACAGGCAUGAGCCAUGACACCCAGCCAAAUAUUCUUACUGGUACUUUAUAUUGUGUAUUUUAAUCGGAUUGUCUAGUCCUUCUAACAGCCGUGAAAUUAGCAAAAUGGCUGGCCAUCCAAAUGCAAACUGAUACAAUUCUUUUGGUGAUCUGGAACCUCUUGAGCAGCAGAAGCAGCAGAUCAUUAAUGAGGAAGGCACUGAGUUAUUCUCCUACAAAGGCAAUGAUGUUGAGUAUUUUAUAUCGUCUAGUUCCCCAUCCGGUUUAUAUCAGUUGGAUCUUCUUUCAACAGAGAAAGACACACAUUUCAAAGUAUAUGCCACCACAACUCCAGAAUCUGAUCAGCCAUACCCUGAGUUACCCUAUGACCCAAGAGUAGAUGUGACCUCACUGGGGCGCACUACGGUCACUUUGGCCUGGAAACCAAGCCCCACUGCCUCUUUGCUGAAACAACCCAUUCAGUACUGUGUGGUCAUCAACAAAGAGCACAAUUUCAAGAGUCUCUGUGCAGUGGAAGCAAAACUGAGUGCAGAUGAUGCUUUUAUGAUGGCACCGAAACCUGGUCUGGACUUCAGCCCCUUUGACUUUGCCCACUUUGGAUUUCCUUCUGAUAAUUCAGGUGAAGAACGCAGUUUCCAAGCAAAGCCUUCUCCAAAACUGGGGCGUCAUGUCUACUCCAGGCCUAAGGUUGAUAUUCAGAAAAUCUGCAUAGGAAACAA